GACUCGUGGCAGAUGGUCUGCACCUGCUUUCUAUGAACUGAUAAGCUGGAGAUGAACGUAUUCAAGCAGGAGGCCGGUUCGAUUCCGGGUCGAGUCA